rnacentral:rRNA from 1 species
AUUGAACGCUGGCGGCAGGCUUAACACAUGCAAGUCGAGCGGUAGCACAGGGGRSCUUGCUCCCUGGGUGACGAGCGGCGGACGGGUGAGUAAUGUCUGGGAAACUGCCUGAUGGAGGGGAUAACUACUGGAAACGGUAGCUAAUACCGCAUAACGUCGCAAGACCAAAGAGGGGGACCUUCGGGCCUCUUGCCAUCAGAUGUGCCCAGAUGGGAUUAGCUAGUAGGUGGGGUAAUGGCUCACCUAGGCGACGAUCCCUAGCUGGUCUGAGAGGAUGACCAGCCACACUGGAACUGAGACACGGUCCAGACUCCUACGGGAGGCAGCAGUGGGGAAUAUUGCACAAUGGGCGCAAGCCUGAUGCAGCCAUGCCGCGUGUGUGAAGAAGGCCUUCGGGUUGUAAAGCACUUUCAGCGAGGAGGAAGGUGGUGAGCUUAAUACGCUCAUCAAUUGACGUUACUCGCAGAAGAAGCACCGGCUAACUCCGUGCCAGCAGCCGCGGUAAUACGGAGGGUGCAAGCGUUAAUCGGAAUUACUGGGCGUAAAGCGCACGCAGGCGGUUUGUUAAGUCAGAUGUGAAAUCCCCGGGCUCAACCUGGGAACUGCAUUUGAAACUGGCAAGCUAGAGUCUCGUAGAGGGGGGUAGAAUUCCAGGUGUAGCGGUGAAAUGCGUAGAGAUCUGGAGGAAUACCGGUGGCGAAGGCGGCCCCCUGGACGAAGACUGACGCUCAGGUGCGAAAGCGUGGGGAGCAAACAGGAUUAGAUACCCUGGUAGUCCACGCUGUAAACGAUGUCGAUUUGGAGGUUGUGCCCUUGAGGCGUGGCUUCCGGAGCUAACGCGUUAAAUCGACCGCCUGGGGAGUACGGCCGCAAGGUUAAAACUCAAAUGAAUUGACGGGGGCCCGCACAAGCGGUGGAGCAUGUGGUUUAAUUCGAUGCAACGCGAAGAACCUUACCUACUCUUGACAUCCAGAGAACUUAGCAGAGAUGCUUUGGUGCCUUCGGGAACUCUGAGACAGGUGCUGCAUGGCUGUCGUCAGCUCGUGUUGUGAAAUGUUGGGUUAAGUCCCGCAACGAGCGCAACCCUUAUCCUUUGUUGCCAGCGGUUCGGCCGGGAACUCAAAGGAGACUGCCAGUGAUAAACUGGAGGAAGGUGGGGAUGACGUCAAGUCAUCAUGGCCCUUACGAGUAGGGCUACACACGUGCUACAAUGGCAUAUACAAAGAGAAGCGACCUCGCGAGAGCAAGCGGACCUCAUAAAGUAUGUCGUAGUCCGGAUUGGAGUCUGCAACUCGACUCCAUGAAGUCGGAAUCGCUAGUAAUCGUAGAUCAGAAUGCUACGGUGAAUACGUUCCCGGGCCUUGUACACACCGCCCGUCACACCAUGGGAGUGGGUUGCAAAAGAAGUAGGUAGCUUAACCUUCGGGAGGGCGCUUACCACUUUGUGAUUCAUGACUGGGGUGAAGUCGUAACAAGGUAACCGUAGGGGAACCUGCGGUUGGAUCACCUCCUUACCUAAAGAUAUUAGUUCGAGUGGCGUGCUCACACAGAUUGUCUGAUGAAAAAGUAACGAGCAAAGCGCUACCUGUUGAUGCCAUGAGUUAUUCAUGCUGAUACGAACCGAUUAAGUUAUUCAGUUUAAUCGGAUUUUCGUGUCCCCAUCGUCUAGAGGCCUAGGACACUGCCCUUUCACGGCUGUAACAGGGNUUCGAAUCCCUUGGGGACGCCAUUCCGAUAAUGAGUGAAAGACAUUAUCACCGGUCACGACAGGCCGAAAAAAUCUUAAAGAUGACUUGCGAGUCAUGUUUAAGAUAUUGCUCUUUAACAAUCUGGAACAAGCUGAAAAUUGAAACAUGACGGCUGAAAUUUAUCCCUCCGUAGACGUAUUGGGAUAAAGAGUAACCUGUCAUAGAGUCUCUCAAAUGUUUGCAGCACGAACGAUGGAAACAUCUUCGGGUUGUGAGGUUAAGUGACUAAGCGUACACGGUGGAUGCCUAGGCAGUCAGAGGCGAUGAAGGGCGUGCUAAUCUGCGAAAAGCGUCGGUAAGGUGAUAUGAACCGUUACAACCGGCGAUACCCGAAUGGGGAAACCCAGUGUGUUUCGACACACUAUCAUGUCAUGAAUACAUAGUGGCAUGAGGCGAACCGGGNAACUGAAACAUCUAAGUACCCCGAGGAAANGAAAUCAACCGAGAUUCCCCAGUAGCGGCGAGCGAACGGGGAGGAGCCCAGAACCUGAAUCGGCUUGUGUGUUAGUGGAAGCGUCUGGAAAGUCGCGCAGUAAAGGGUGAUAGCCCCGUACACUAAAAUGCACAGGUCGUGAGUUCGAUGAGUAGGGCGGGACACGUGACAUCCUGUCUGAAUAUGGGGGGACCAUCCUCCAAGGCUAAAUACUCCUGACUGACCGAUAGUGAACCAGUACCGUGAGGGAAAGGCGAAAGAACCCCGGCGAGGGNGUGAAAUAGAACCUGAAACCGUGUACGUACAAGCAGUGGGAGCACCUUCGUGGUGUGACUGCGUACCUUUUGUAUAAUGGGUCAGCGACUUAUAUUUUGUAGCAAGGUUAACCGUAUAGGGGAGCCGUAGGGAAACCGAGUCUUAACUGGGCGAAUAGUUGCAAGGUAUAGACCCGAAACCCGGUGAUCUAGCCAUGGGCAGGUUGAAGGUUGGGUAACACUAACUGGAGGACCGAACCGACUAAUGUUGAAAAAUUAGCGGAUGACUUGUGGCUGGGGNUGAAAGGCCAAUCAAACCGGGAGAUAGCUGGUUCUCCCCGAAAGCUAUUUAGGUAGCGCCUCGUGAACUCAUCUUCGGGGGUAGAGCACUGUUUCGGCUANGGGGCCAUCCCGGCUUACCAAACCGAUGCAAACUCCGAAUACCGAAGAAUGUUAUCACGGGAGACACACGGCGGGUGCUAACGUCCGUCGUGAAGAGGNAAACAACCCAGACCGCCAGCUAAGGUCCCAAAGUCAUGGUUAAGUGGGAAACGAUGUGGGAAGGCAUAGACAGCCAGGAUGUUGGCUUAGAAGCAGCCAUCAUUUAAAGAAAGCGUAAUAGCUCACUGGUCGAGUCGGCCUGCGCGGAAGAUGUAACGGGGCUAAACCAUGCACCGAAGCUGCGGCAGCGACGCUUAGGCGUUGUUGGGUANGGGAGCGUUCUGUAAGCCGUUGAAGGUGGCCUGUGAGGGUUGCUGGAGGUAUCAGAAGUGCGAAUGCUGACAUAAGUAACGAUAAAGCGGGUGAAAAGCCCGCUCGCCGGAAGACCAAGGGUUCCUGUCCAACGUUAAUCGGGGCAGGGUGAGUCGACCCCUAAGGCGAGGCUGAAAAGCGUAGUCGAUGGGAAACAGGUUAAUAUUCCUGUACUUGGUGUUACUGCGAAGGGGGACGGAGAAGGCUAGGCUAGCCGGGCGACGGUUGUCCCGGUUUAAGCGUGUAGGGGGUGUGACCUGGUAAAUCCGGUUACAUACUAACCCUGAGGCGUGAUGACGAUGCACUACGGUGCAGAAGUAGUUGAUGCCCUGCUUCCAGGAAAAGCCUCUAAGCUCAGGUAACAUUAAAUCGUACCCCAAACCGACACAGGUGGUCAGGUAGAGAAUACCAAGGCGCUUGAGAGAACUCGGGUGAAGGAACUAGGCAAAAUGGUGCCGUAACUUCGGGAGAAGGCACGCUGGCAUGUAGGUGAAGUCCCUUGCGGAUGGAGCUGAAGCCAGUCGAAGAUACCAGCUGGCUGCAACUGUUUAAUAAAAACACAGCACUGUGCAAACACGAAAGUGGACGUAUACGGUGUGACGCCUGCCCGGUGCUGGAAGGUUAAUUGAUGGGGUCAGCCGCAAGGCGAAGCUCUUGAUCGAAGCCCCAGUAAACGGCGGCCGUAACUAUAACGGUCCUAAGGUAGCGAAAUUCCUUGUCGGGUAAGUUCCGACCUGCACGAAUGGCGUAAUGAUGGCCAGGCUGUCUCCACCCGAGACUCAGUGAAAUUGAACUCGCUGUGAAGAUGCAGUGUACCCGCGGCAAGACGGAAAGACCCCGUGAACCUUUACUAUAGCUUGACACUGAACAUUGAGCCUUGAUGUGUAGGAUAGGUGGGAGGCUUUGAAGCGUGGACGCCAGUCUGCGUGGAGCCAUCCUUGAAAUACCACCCUUUAAUGUUUGAUGUUCUAACUCGGCCCCAUAAUCUGGGGUGAGGACAGUGUCUGGUGGG